rnacentral:rRNA from 1 species
GACGAACGCUGGCGGCGUGCCUAAUACAUGCAAGUAGGACGCAGUUGCGAACGGGUGAGUAACGCGUAGGUAACUGCCUAUUAGAGGGGGAUAACUAUUGGAAACGAUAGCUAAUACCGCAUACUAGUAGAUGGACCUGCGUUGUAUUAGCUAGUAGGUAGGGUAAUGGCCUACCUAGGAGACUAUACAUAGCCGACCCAAGAGGGUGAUCGGCCACAAUGGGAAGAAGCCGCGGCCCAGACUCCUCCGUGAGGCAGCAGUAGGAAAUCUUCGGCAAUGGACGAAAGUCUGACCGGGCAACGCCGCGUGAGUGAAGAAGGUUUUCGGAUCGUAAGACUCUGUUGUUAGGGAAGCGGUAUCUAACCAGAAAGCCACGGCUAACUACGUGCCAGCCGCCGCGGUAAUUC